AUUAAUCACCAUUGGAUCUGCUCACCGGAUAGGCAUUCUACACUGUUAGCAACGGUGAAAUAAAUACGUAGGUAAAAAUUUUGGGGAAAGUCUGUCAGACAACCGUGCGAUCAUCCCGGCCACCGUAUAGCGACUGAGAACGAUCCUCUACUGCGCCAGUGAUCGAUGAUCACGGACGCUGUUAAUCACGCUCUGAUCACGCGGUUAUAACUCAUCCACCAGACUUGAUAUCCUGUCUCCUUAGAACUCAAGGAUACAGAGGUACGAGCCUAUAGAACAGAUCCUGUUCAAGUAAGGUCGUGCUUGAAUGGCUUCUCAUAAUCCUAUAAAAAUAGCCCUUUAAAGAUGUAUGCCAGCGAUGUGGGACUUAUUUAUUUCUCAUUUGUCUUCCCUAUGGCGACAACGAUCGGUAACCCCACAUCAAUCUCUUUUUCUAAUUUGUCAAAUAGAAAGCUGUUGGGAGUUUAAAGGGAACGUGCGGCCCAGAUCGCAAGCUACAAUGAAAUGUCGUGAAGAUCUCAGUGUUCCCAGAACCCUAAGAGCUGAUGGAAGCUCUCCAUGAGAUGUGCUUAUUCAAAACUGGAGCUUGGAGGUUGCUCCACCAGGUCUUUACUUUUGUUUCAUGACAUUACAUUUUCAUCUGAAGUUUAUCCACUAAGUGAGCUUGAUUUUGAAUUUCCUUGUAUUAAUCCAUUUUACGUUAUGUUAUUAUUAUUAUUUUUUUAAUUUUAAUUUGAGUGAAUUGGGGAUAGCUUGUUGGUGCUUUGUGAUUAUUACUGAUUAAAAUUAUGGAGUUGGUUCUGUUUAGGAAAGUUUGGGAGUUAAUUUAUAGCACAAAAGACAUUCUCAGUUGGGACCAUUAAAUUUAGAGGUGUCCAGCUCAAGCUGGUGCAUAGUAUCCCUAAGGUGGGAUGAAGAAUAGUAAAUAAUAUCUUCAAUGAGAUAAACAGUAUAGUUAGGUUGACAAAUGAGCCAAUUUUGAACCCAGUUGUAAAGUAGGAGCUCUAGUUUGAAAUUGACUCAUUUGAACCCUACUGUAGAUUCGAUCUGAGUCAGUUUAGAUCAGAUUCACCCUACCAUUAAUUGGAUUUUCUUUGAAGCGUUAAAGCUAUUUUUCUUGAAGGGUCAACUUCCUGAUUCUUGAAGGAAGCCAAUGAUGAUAUUUUACCUUUAAGUUGGAUAACUUUAUUUUCUACAUUCUGUGUAGGAGUUAAUGGUUGGUCAUGUUCUCCCGUUGGUAUGUGCUUCAGCUUCAGAAAUUCCGGCUUUUCUAAUUUGGUUGACAUAAUACUUAAACUAUGAAGAUUUUGAUAGAGAGGAAGUUUCUAGAUGGUACAGGCACAAAAGACUUGUCAUGUAUUGAAGACUAAGAAAUCUUAGGAGCACACAUGGCAUGCCAUGUUUUGACUAUAGACACAUGGAUAAUGUGAUGGUGGAGUUGGAUUUCUCGUACCCGAGUGAAAGAAUAUGCCAGUGAUUGGAAAAUUGUUGCAGGAUAACAUCCAUGGCUUCCACUACUGACCAAGUAGCUUUCAUAUCAUGUGUCCCAAGAUGUAAAAUGGUGGAUGAAACUUCAAGAAACUCUGCGUACCUCUGCCUUCCCAAGCAGCCAUAGCAUAAAGCAAGUUUCUUUUUGCUUUAUGCUAUUCUGUUUCGCUGGAAAAAUGGUCCAAAAAUCUUUACAUAGCAUCAAUUUGUUGUGGACGGACUGUUUGCUAAUUUGUGGAGUGUAUAUGUGUUAUGUCUCCAGAUUUCAGGAGUUCAAAUUUUGAAAACUGAGGGCAAUUUCAUAUUUAAUUGCAGAAUGGGUAAAAUAGCUUUAUCAUGCAAGUUAAAAGGAAAUUCAGGAUUCACAUAUAGAAUCCGCAAACUUUGAAUGUAAAAAACAAAAGAAAAACAGAAAGAAUGAAAAAAUAAUAGCCGGAGAAAGGACAAAUGAUCUCUUCUCCAUCUUGUAAUCUUUUCAUUCAUGGUAAAACUUUCUCUAUCUUAUACUCCUGGUUUUCUCUUAUAUUGGGUUUCUUACCAGCAUAUGAUAUCAUGCUACUAAAUAAUGAAAGAAACAUGAUAAUGUAGUGGAGUUCUGGGUUAUCUAUUGUUAUUGUAUUGAUAUGAUGCUCACUCCUUUGUUGGUUGCAUUAUGGCAGGCUGUAGCAAGGACUCUCUAUAUGGUCAGAUUCAUCCUCAUAAUUGAAGUACAACGAUUGAUCAUGGUAAUUAGUUUGUUUAAGGGGAGAAUCUAAUAUUUGAAUUUUCAUAGUUCUAUAUAGACUAUGCAUUUAGUAAAUUGAAUACAGAUUUUCACCCUGUGAAUGAUGAUAUUAAACAAACAAUCUUUUUCUCUUCCAUUUGAUCAAUUCAAAGAUUCUGGGCAAAAGCAAUUUCCUUGAUAAUGUAGUCAA